rnacentral:lncRNA from 1 species
UGAUAUAUUAUCUCUUCCCAUCUCUCGUCCUCCACCCUAUUUAGCAUCGGUGUCAUCCAACGCUACGUGACCUGACCCGAAAGCAGCAUGCGUCGGCCACCGAAAGCCUUUUUGCUCCUCUUCCUCCUCCUCCUCCUGUCGGCGCCUUGUUCGGGCUCCAGCUCCAGCUCCUUCGUCCCCUCCACCACCUUCUCCUCCAACCUCCGGUUCGCUUUCAGUGAGAUCCAGAAGCUCACGUCGCUGAUCUCCGGCUCGUCCGGCGUCCUGGGCGGCAACCUCCGCCUCUCCUCGGCCAUCCAUGACUGCCUAGACCUCCUCGACUUCUCCGCUGACGAGCUCACCUGGACCCUCUCCGUCGUCAAUGACCAGCGCGUGAAGACCCCUGCCACCGGGAACCACCGUUACGACAUCCGCUCCUGGCUCAGCGCCGCUGUCGGCAACCAGGACACCUGCAAGGAAGGCCUCGACAGCGCCGGCGGCCCCCUCGGAGGCCUCGCUGCCGGCGGGCUCAAGAUCGUCAGCUCACUCAUUGCCAACAGCCUCCACGAGGUUGCCGCAUCGUCGGGCGGCGGGGGUGGGGGUCGGAGGCUCCUGGGGUUCCCGGAAUGGGUGUCGGCCGGGGACAGGAGGCUUCUGCAGACGCCGGCACCGGUGGAGCCCGACGCGGUGGUGGCGCAAGACGGGAGCGGGGACUACACGUCGAUAGGGGCCGCGGUGGAGGCGGCGCCGAGUGAGAGCGAGAGCAGGUACGUGAUCUACGUGAAGAAGGGGGUGUACAUGGAGAACGUGGAGGUCAAUAAGAAGAAGUGGAACCUGAUGCUCGUCGGAGACGGCAUCGACCAAACCAUCAUCUCCGGCAGCCGGAGCGUCGCCGCUGGCUGGACUACCUUUCGCAGCGCCACCGUCGGUGAGCUAAAUCCAUCUCUGGUUCUACGUAUCUUUUCCUGAGGUCAACAAGGACCCCAGCUAAAAACGUCGCCCGGUUUGCACCGACUCACGACCUGUCGACUCACCGUGUACGUGCAUGCAUGCAGCCGCGACCGGAAGGGGUUUCAUCGCCCGGGACCUGACGAUCGAGAACACGGCGGGGCCGCAGGGCAACCAGGCGGUCGCCUUCCGCUCCGGCUCCGACCUCUCAGUCUUCUACCGCUGUGGCUUCUCCGGCUACCAGGACACGCUGUACCCGCACUCCCUCCGACAAUUCUACCGCGAGUGCCGCAUCGCCGGCACC